GACUUGGGACUAAGUCACUAUAGUGGAACUUGAAGAGUUGUCAUGUUAGCCAAGCAUUUACUUUGAUAAUCCCCUAAAGAUUCAGUUACAUUGUAGUUCUUCAGAUGUGAUAAUUCCACACAAAUGAUCUUUUUGGAGAGACAUCUCAAUAGAAAUAGUUUUCUUGAAGGAGACAGGCAUGGACCAAAAAAAACCACAAGUGUUUGGCGUAGUCUGGGCAGCAUUUGCCGUAUCGUUCGCAGUCGGCAUCGCAGUCACACUCCCGCCCUCUCUGGAAGGCUUCAAAGCACCGUCCUUCACAGGAGAGUCCUGCACGAGGCACAGCAGCACAGUCAGGGUGUUUGCCUACCUCAUGCUGAACGCUGGCACCUUUCUACAGUGAAGCCCUUUGCUCUGGAUGGUGUCAAGAAGAGCCCCAUAAAAUCAGGAUGUGCUUUCUUCCCUCGGUAUUGCAGGAACUGAGGGCCUGGUGUGACCCCUGCUGAAGGUGUGUGGAGCAGAGGUUUGCUCUGAGCCAGCCUGUGGACCAGCAGGAGCAUGUGUUCAGUACCUUGAGAAGACACUUCUUGAAUCAAGGACAGAGAAAGGAGCACCAGGGAUAUGCAAAGUAUGUUCCAUAUGAUCAUUACUUUCAGUGUAUGGGCUAAUUCUGCUGAAUCAUAGCUGGAAGAAAAUCAAAUUUAACUAUAGGAAGAAAAAAAAAUCAUACAAGAUUUGAUUAAUGUGAAGGAUGGCAGAGAAUAAGAAGAAUAGAGAAAAUGAACAUGAGAAAGCAGGAAAUACAGCUGCACUUCAGCAAGUCACUGAGGCUCUUCAGCAAGUCACUGAGGCUCUUCAGCAUCAAUGAAUGUCGGUGAUGAAGGUGUUUGAGGUUUCCAGACUCCAGGGUGGUGCUGAGUGAUGGCCGAUGGUACCGCUGGGUUUUGUCCCCAGUCAGAAUCUCCGCUGAAGCAAAGGCCAGAAGGCCAGAAGGCUGAAGGAGCCAGAAACAAAGCAUGGCCCUGCCCAGCAGCCCUCACCCAUCCACACAUCUGUACAUCCCAGGAUCCCGGCAGGGAUAACUGGAAAUGUGCCAGGCGGCUUCUUUUCAUCCCCCUCGCCCGGCGUGUCCUGUUCGCCCGUGUGCGCCUGCGGAGCAGGCCUUGGAUUGCAGCCCCACCACCUAAUCCGGGGAGUUCAGAGGUUGGGCCGUGCCAAGUUUGUAUUGGCAGCAGCCUUGGAUUGGAGCUGCCAGAACUAGAAAUGCCUCUGAAGUCAAAGGGUAGCAGAGCUCCCCCUCAGACCCCGGGAGCAGAGUCCUGCCUGGAAUUGCCACGCCAGUGGGAGCGCUGACGGCAGCGUUACUCACCAUCCGGCUCUGCUCCUGCUGUCUGGGUCUCACUUGGCAAGGCUGUGCAUCCUGCAUGGAUUCAUUACUGUGCCCACUCCGUAGCUUUUUAACUCAACUGGUGUGAAGGAAAACCAAACCUCAGUGGAUUUCCUCUCUCAGGGGAUGGGCAAGCUGGAUCCCUACAGAGCAGAAGAGAAAUUCAUAACACAGAUCAAGGUCCAAGGAAGAGAA